ACAGCAGCCGCCGCGGUAAUACGUAGGUCCCGAGCGUUGUCCGGAUUUAUUGGGCGUAAAGCGAGCGCAGGCGGUUAGAUAAGUCUGAAGUUAAAGGCUGUGGCUUAACCAUAGUACGCUUUGGAAACUGUUUAACUUGAGUGCAAGAGGGGAGAGUGGAAUUCCAUGUGUAGCGGUGAAAUGCGUAGAUAUAUGGAGGAACACCGGUGGCGAAAGCGGCUCUCUGGCUUGUAACUGACGCUGAGGCUCGAAAGCGUGGGGAGCAAAUGGGAUUAGAGACCCCUGUAGUCCCUGUCUCUUAUACA
rnacentral:rRNA from 1 species